ACUCUAGUCCUUCUUCUCCAAGAAGCCCUCUCUCUAGCCCUAAAACCUAAACACCACCGUCACUCCAGCCACCGGUAACACACUAUCUAAACACCCGGAAGCGCUCUCUCUCUAAACACUGCUAUCGGAGUUACCAUUCCGGCCACAACAUAAACCACCAUCACUCCGGUCCUUCUUCUCCGUCUCUGACCGCUAAAGUCACCGUCGCUACACACGAAUACCAGAUCUGGAACCCUAUCCAAUCAUGUGGUGAUGGUGUGGAUGGCAGGUGGUGGUGGCAAAUGGAGAAGAAGAAGAACAAUGAGAAAAUCAUAAGGUUUUAUUUAUAAAUAUGCUAGGUUUUUAUCCGGGAUUGCUUCCCGGGCUCGGGAAAGUUAUUUAGAUUAAUUAAUUACUAUUUGUUUGUAAUACGACCACAUUACAUCAACCAUCUAAUUCGAUUAAACAACAAUGUCUUCAAAAUCACCGGAUUAGAUCAUGAACUCAUAUUAGAGGACAAACAAAAGCACAGCAGGACCAUAUGAAUAAUAUCAUUUCCACUUU